UUUGACAGAAUUCUUCGGAAGGAAGUUGAUUAAGUUUAGUGGCGGACGGGUGAGUAACGCGUGAGUAACCUGCCUUUGAGAGGGGAAUAACUUCCCGAAAGGGAUGCUAAUACCGCAUGACGCAUAUUUAUCGCAUGGUAGAUAUGCCAAAGAUUUAUCGCUCAAAGAUGGACUCGCGUCCGAUUAGCCAGUUGGCGGGGUAACGGCCCACCAAAGCGACGAUCGGUAGCCGGACUGAGAGGUUGAACGGCCACAUUGGGACUGAGACACGGCCCAGACUCC
rnacentral:rRNA from 1 species